rnacentral:rRNA from 1 species
UACGUAGGGUGCAAGCGUUAAUCGGAAUUACUGGGCGUAAAGCGUGCGCAGGCGGUUAUGUAAGACAGUUGUGAAAUCCCCGGGCUCAACCUGGGAACUGCAUCUGUGACUGCAUAGCUAGAGUACGGUAGAGGGGGAUGGAAUUCCGCGUGUAGCAGUGAAAUGCGUAGAUAUGCGGAGGAACACCGAUGGCGAAGGCAAGUCCCCUGGGCUGCUGAUCAUGACCGCUCGACGU